rnacentral:tRNA from 1 species
GCACUUGUAGCUCAGUGGAUAGAGCAGUGGCUUCCGAAGCCAUGUGUCGGGGGUUCGAGUCCCUUCAGGUGCG